AGAUUAUAGUCGGUAGAAUCUAGUGCCUUCUGCACAGCCGACGGAAACGGUGAAUAGUAGCAUAAACAACAAACAACUUAAAAUAAUAAUGACGGCCGAGCUACCGUCAUAAUUGUGAGUUUAAAUACUAAAUAAUCAAAUAAUUUAGUUCAAUGAACAUAUGAAUUGAGUGAAUAGCCUUACUCUUACCCGGGUGGAACUUGCGUACACCUUUAUUUCAUUCAGUGCAGUCAAUGUAAAUCAAUAUGUUGCCAGUCUUUAGAAGUUGAAAUAUUACAAUAAUGUCUAAAUGAUUAUGAUUUAUAAAGGCCUUAUCAAAAAGUUGGGAUGACAAGGAUAUUCCUAUGGAAUUUGAAUAUAUUCUGGAAAGGGCUUAUGCGGUAGCACGUUUGCCUCCAGAAAAAAUUCCCGAUGGGUUUAUGCAUAUCACUAGCCUUGUUAUUGAUCCAGCUGUACUGCGAAAGCUGCAAGACUUCGCAGCUUACCUAAGAAGGUUUUGGCUACCACUUGCUAACGUUCUGUCGGUCUACAAAAAACCCGUCAGAAGUAAUAAUACUUGUGAAAAUUUCCAUUUGUAUGCAGCAAAAGGAAUGGGAGAACGUUCUAACGUUUAUAAAAUGCUAGGGGAUGCCGUGGUCAACCUGAUUAAUUGUGACCACACCUCGUACCGUAGUUCUCACUAUUUGUUCACAAUUUACACAUGUUACAGAAUGUCGAAUCGAUAAUUGUUUAUUAUUGUUUGGGUUAUCUCAAACAAGUUUUUGUUGAUUUAAAUAGCAAAAAAUGUAUAUUAUUAAAUAUUUUACAUGAAAGUGAAGAUCGUUUUUGAUUCUUAAUUUCAUUUUUGGCUUUAUUGUUUGCAAAAAUUAUGUAUGAUUACAUAAAUACAAGACUUACUUAAUAUAAGAUAUUGUACUAGCAACCUUGGAAUACACCAUAUUGAGGCGAUAUUUAUAGUUUAUGAUCUAAAAAGUUAUGGCUGACAGUGGAUGUAGUUCCGACAACCCCUUAGACAUGAGUUUUGAAUGUAAUGAAGGAACAAAUGGGAAAAAUUAGUAGAAAUUUUGAAAUAGCCGAAGCUGGUCUCUUAGUAACAACUCACCAACCGCAACGUCUCAUAGAAGCUGAUCUAGCUAUACGGCGAGCUGAAUUUGAAUUUGAAGUGGGACGGUAACUGUUAUUUAUAAUAAUGCAUUAUUAUUCAUCUCUAUAUAAAUGUACAAGGCUUUUUUAUGAACAAAAAACAAAUAUAAAAAUUAAGAUUUCAAUUUUUAAAAAUUAAAAAAUACGAAAAUAAAAACUUUUGUUUAAGUUGAAAUUUGACGUAUCCCAGGUCCAAAAAGUAAAAUCGUAUACACACACUACAAGAGGUUAAAUGGCGAGCCCAUGACUUGCAUUUACCACCCAAGCCUUCGGCUCAAGUGGCAAUUGGCGGUACAUGAGUAAUUUACUAUUAAAUAUUGCAAAAAUUGAUAAUAUUGUCAUAUUACUGAAAUGCAUAAAUAUUAAAAUGUCAAGUAAAUGUUUUUUUUUUGCUAUACGCGCUAAGAUAAAACUAAAGUUAAAAUCAGGUUUUCCAAAAAAUAUCCACAUGCAUAUAGCAAAAAAAAAACAUCUACUUGACAUUUUAAUAUUUAUAGAUUUCACUACUUUUUCUUGCCAAGGUUAUGACUUUCGAAAAAAGUUUUUUUUAGGAAGAUUUUAGAUCUUCUACAAAGCAUAUUCUCCUUGAAAUCUUGAUCUAUUUGAUAGGCAAUAAGCUACUUUUGCUUUAUAUAUUGAUCCCAUCGAGCAUAUAAUCGUAUGGUAUUAUUAUAUGUACGUCAUAUAUAAUACCACAAUCGCGUGUCAUCGAGUAGCAGACGAAUGUCGGUAAACUAGAUUAUAACUGCUGUAAAUACUGGCGUAUAAUACAUCUGACCGGAAGUCACGUGACCGGAGAAGACAAAAUAUUGAGAGAAGAAACUCUGACGAAAAGAAAUUCAUCGAGCAAAUUUUCAACUUGCAAUAUUAAGAUAAAAACGUAAUAUAUUCGAAUGAAUCCUUUUAAAGAUGAAAGAUUAGGUUAAUAUAUUUCAAAUAGAUACCAGCAGAUUGCGCAUAAGCGCAAUAAUAAUGAUUUAAAUGCAAUCGAGAUUUUUGUUGGAGGUUAGAAAACCCAAUUUUCAAGUAUAUAGGUGUAAUGCCCUAUAUACGAUCCGGCGUGUAACUUCCUAGAACAUAUACAUUAAAAAAAUCCUAAAAAACAUCCGACUCUGCCUAUACAGCGAGCGCACGGAAUGUUUCGGCCGUCCCCACUCUUCUCACCUCCUACGAAACCAGCAGCUACGCAGUAGUCUACGCAGCGACGGCAGGCCAUCGCCGCGCAUGUGUGCGUGCGCGUCCCCCUUCUCUCUCCAGCUACGAAGCCAGCAUUAACAGCAGAGCGUUGCGUAACACUAUUUAUAUGUAUAUGUGAGCGCAACCGAGCGACGGUGAGUCGUGCGCAUCCGAGUAUAUUUGUAUGAAUGAUAAAUGUAAAUAUGAAUGAAUGAUAGUAUGAUUGUGUGAACGUGCGAAUAUUUUCGGCGGCUCGAUCAGCGCUCGCUUAGCGCCCUAUAAAAGGCCAUGCGAGGCCUGUGUUCAAUCACUAGCGGCAGCAUUUUCAAGCGCCCUAGUUUACUCCGACUGCACUUUUAAGCGCCUUAGUACAUGUACAGAAAUCUACUGCAAAAUUAAGCGUAGAAUUUAAUAAUUAUAAAAUUCGAGCAGCACUUUUAAGCGCUCUAACAAAUACUCUACUGCAAAAUUAAGCGUAGAAUUUAAUAAUAUUUAAUAAUCGCAUAACAGAAGUUUUCAUCAAAAAAUAAACAAAAUUGUAACUAAAUCUGAUUUAAAAAGAAUAAUAGCAAUAAUAGGCAUUAUUCUUAUGUUAAAUUAUUUUUGUUAAUAUACACACUAUUUUAAAUAUAAACAAGAGUUUAUAAUUAUUGCGUUGCAUAUCCAUUACCCACAAUC